ensembl:snoRNA
UCUCUCCCCUGAUGACUUGCACUGGGCUCUGAGUCUGGAUGGAGACAGUUGUGCAUCUUUGGCCCUGACAAGCCAGAGUUUCUGAGGAGAAA